GCGAGAUCUAGUCCUAAAAUCAUACAAUUUAAUUAUCUAUCCUAAACUAACAAAGCAUUUACUAAGUCCUAGUAUAGGCGAUAGAACAGACAAUCAUUGGGCACAAUAGAGAAAGUACCGUGAGGGAACGUUGAAAGAUUUAAUUCUUCAAGCAAUAAAAAGCAAAGAUUACCCCUUCUACCUUUUGCAUAAUGAUUUAGCUAGUCAAACCAGACAAAACGAAUUGAAGCCUGUCUCCCCGAAAUUAAGUGAGCUAUUGUAGAACAGUUGACAGAACGAACUCGUCUGUGUAGCAAAACAGUGAGAUGAUUUUACAAUAGAGGUGAAAAGCCUACCGAACUUAAUGAUAGCUGGUUGUCCAAAAAACGAAUUUAAGUUCAACUUUAAAUUUAACAAAAGUACUAACAAACCCUAUUUAAAUUUAAAUGGUAUUCAAAAGAGGGACAACUCUUUUGAUAUGUAGACAAACUUUUUUAGAGGAUAAUGUUUUCCACACAAACAUUGUAGGCCUAAAAGCAGCCACCAAUUAAGAAAGCGUUAAAGCUCAAUCUCACCCAACAUUCAAUACCAACAAUAAACCAAACUCCCUAACCCCAUAUUGGACAAUUCUAUAAUUAUUUAGAAGCUACAAUGCUAAUAUGAGUAACCUGAAUUUAUUCUCCUUGCACAAGCAUACAUAAAGAUCGGAACAACCACUUACACUUAACCAAAUAAAUAGUUAUAUCCAUACACCAGUAUCCUAUUAUAUUCUUCGUUAACCCAACCCAGGCGUGCAUUUUUAAAGGAAAGAUUAAAAGGGAUAAAAGGAACUCGGCAAACCCAAGCCCCGCCUGUUUACCAAAAACAUCACCUCUAGCAUCAACCAGUAUUAGAGGCACUGCCUGCCCAGUGAGUCACCACUUUAACGGCCGCGGUAUCCUGACCGUGCAAAGGUAGCAUAAUCACUUGUCUUUUAAUUGGAGACUAGUAUGAAUGGCACCACGAGGGCUUAACUGUCUCUUAUCCCCAAUCAGUGAAAUUGACCUCCCCGUGCAGAGGCGGGGAUGCCAUUACAAGACGAGAAGACCCUGUGGAGCUUAAGUCUCAUAACUCAACAAAUACUAAUUCAUAAACCUACUGGAACAAACCAUAUAUAAACCAUGAGUUAUAGUCUUUGGUUGGGGUGACCUCGGAGCAUAAAACAACCUCCGAAUGAAAAUUAACCUAGAUUAACUAAUCUAAGUGUAAUAAUACCAGUAAUUGACCCAUCUUUUGAUCAACGGAAAAAGUUACCCCAGGGAUAACAGCGCAAUCCUAUUUGAGAGCCCAUAUCGAAAAUUAGGGUUUACGACCUCGAUGUUGGAUCAGGACAUCCAAAUGGUGCAGCCGCUAUUAAAGGUUCGUUUGUUCAACGAUUAAAGUCCUACGUGAUCUGAGUUCAGACCGGAGAAAUCCAGGUCGGUUUCUAUCUGUAAAUUCAUUUCUCCUAGUACGAAAGGACAAGAGAAAUAAGGCCAAUUUAUCCAAUAAGCCUUAGAACCAAUAUAUGAAUCAAUCUAAAUAUACUAAACAAAUUUAUAUACCCCCCCAAGAACAGGGCU
rnacentral:rRNA from 1 species